AUUAUUAAAUCAAAUCCAUUUUUAUUAAUUAUGAGUUAUAUAUUACAAGGUUGUAUAUAAAAAACAGAAUAAAUAAUCAUAUUGAUUGUAGAGGCUUAAAUUUGACUGGGCCCAUUUUGCAACUUUUAACCCAAGCUAAAUAGGCCCAAAACCCAAUUUUUAAAUCCUAACAGCCCAAGCCCACAACAUAAACAAUUAGUUUCAGCAAAACAAACCCUAACCCCUAUGUGCGCCACUCCUCACGUGGCAUCAGUGCGUUUUGCACCUGAACAGACACCCCGUCCCAUCGCCCGUGCCACCAGUUCCGACUCUACCUGCAAAAUGGAAGAGAACAUGCAACAGCAACAGAGAACAGUAGCAAACACUGAUGAAAAACAAUGUAUUCCGGCUAUAAAGCCUUGAUAAAAUCAUUGUAAAAUGGGGGAUUUUUUCGAAUACAAAAAAGGAGAGAUUCAAUAAAAAAGAGAGAUUUUAAAAAAGCAAAAUAGAAAAUCUACAAAAUCGAUUCAAAAAAAAAAGGUUACUGAUUAUUUUUUUUUCUUUCUCUUUCAUUUUAUUUUCUUUCCUUUCUUUUCGAAUCUAUUGUUCCUUAUUUUACCUUUUUUUUUUUUAAAAACAGCAUAUAUAUAUAGAUAUAUAUAAAAUAAGAAAAAAAAACAAAAAAAAACCUUUUUGCACGGUGGCCGGCAACGGCCGCAGACGGAGCCGGAGCUUGGCCGGAGGGAGAGGGAGAGAGUUUUUUUUGAGAGAAUUUUUGGAAAAUUCUGUUUUGUGAAGAAGGAAAAUGAAAUUUUUAACAAAAAAAAUUGGUUUAUAUAGUGCCC
rnacentral:lncRNA from 1 species